UCCCAAGGAACUGAGGCGCGGGCUGCUGCGAGGCCGGCGGACACACGGGCUGGAGGGAGCGCGCGGCCGUCCCCACUUGGCCUGGCUCCGGGAAGCCCGGGCGGCGAGCGCGGCGGACGCAGCCAGACUGUAGGCCCCGGGCAGGCGCGUUGGUGUGGGCCCCGGACCCCCGGCAGGCAGCAAGCGGGCGCCUGGGCACGGCGCGGCGGGGAAAAUGACCGCGGGCUCCUGCCCGCUCCUCCUGCUGUUCUCGCUCUCCGGCUCGCUCCGGGGUUUACAUGUGGUUGUGAUGGAAGUGCCAAGGAACUCCAAGGAUUGCUGACCAGGCAGAACAUACCAACCCUGAGAGGUAGCAAGACAUCAAGCCUCUGAAACUAAUUCCCUGAAGGACCUGGAGAAGAGGAGGGCAGAUUUGCAGGCCAUGGCGGAGAGCAGUGCUGCACCACAGGUCCUGGUGGAGGGCAGUGCUGUGGCCCUGCGGGUGAGGCUGGGCAUGCUGGGUGCCGGCUGUGGCCACGUGUGCACCUGGAACAAGGAGUGGUGUGAUGCCCUUAUGGUACAUGUUUGGUGCUGCCAAGGCCAGUCACUCCUCUCCUUUCCCCUGUUUAAGAGCAGUUCACAUUUUAUCCCUGCUUGAAGAAAUAUUGCUGAGUCUUUGCUGAAUGCAUGGCUAAGCCCUGCCAGUGCUGAGGUGGGAAGACAAAGGCCCUGCCCCCCAUGCAGGAUUGAGUCAGCAUUUUAUCAAUUCCUUUGUAAAACCUCCAGAAUCAGGUGGGACCGUUUGAUGGAAACAUGGCUCCCAUAAGCAUCUGACGUCACCAAGUGGAAGAUGUGUUGGACAAGAUUGAAAAACCAGCGAGUUAAUGUGAAGGGCUCACACAGCAGUUACUGUUGGAGCUGGAUGAUGCUGGCCUCCAGGUGGAGAAGGUCCACGGCCAAGCCCUCAUUUUGAUGAACAGCAGAGUGGUCUCCAGCAGGGAAUUAGUCAAACCCAAGCUAGCUGAACCUAACAGAAAUUUUGAGACGGUGUCUCAGCAUAUCAGAAUUGCCAAUCUCCCACGGGGGACCCAAUAGAGGACAUUUCUCAUGCCAAGGCAGACGUAGAGGAUGCAUCAAACAUCAAGUGUUUCAUUUCCUCAAGAAGAAGAGGAAAAGCUCCCCAGAAGCAGCUGAUGGUGGCAGUUACAAGUGACCAAGAGGAUGAGGAGACCCCACCUAAUGAUGAGGUGCCACGUGGACCAAGUGAAAAUGCCCUGAGUGCCUGUUAGAGGAGCCUCAUGGUGACACGGCAGAUGAGGACAUUCCAUCUAAUUCCAUGGUGGACUCAGAGUUGAGUGAAAAUGGUAUGUAUUUCGGAAUCACUUGCUGUAAAAAACCUCGAGAUUAUUAAAAAAAAACAUGGCUUUUGUGCUUGCCUUAGGCUGGAGAGGCACCCAGAUUCCAGCUUCCAGGUGGGAAUGAGGACAGGGGAUGUGAUUAUGCUGUAGGUAAAGAAAAAUGGUCAAGUUCUUCAGUUCUCGUAAGCAGCUCUGUUCAUUUAGGUGGUGAAUGUUGGCAUGUACAAGAAUUGGGAAUGUCUGUGUAAGUCUAUGUGGUGUCAUUAUGAAGGUAGUGAUGAGGGUGAGUGUGUGUGUUUCCCCAGAAACUUUUCCCACCAUCAUAGAACAAUAGUUAAGGAGGCUGAGAUGAUCUUAGAACAUGUCAAGGAGAUAGUGGCAUUUUGAUAGUGCUUCAUAUUGGGCAGGAGGAGUGAUAAGAGUCUAACAUUGAAAACUAGCAUGUAUUUUCAUACUAUUUGUAGAUUAUUUCCCAUUGCUUUGUGAUAUCUUUAGCUACAAAGCCAAGGACUCCCCCCAUUUUCUCCUACUUCUCCUCUUUGCCAGCCUCCUUCCAUCCCACAGAAGCUCAUUCUAUGCUUCUUCACUACCCACCUCCAUAUUGCUCUGACCUUGUCCAUAUCAAGCAAAGUGCCCUGAGUUAUCCAGGAGCAAUAACCCCAAUGUACUGACUUAGUCUGUGUCCUCCUAGCUCCCCCCAAGGGCCUGCUCAAGCAACUUCUGCAGGCCACAGCAGUAGAGGAGUCCCCAUAUUAUUCUGAGUGUUUUCUUUAACUACAGGUGGCCCGGAUAAUAAACCCCAAU